rnacentral:rRNA from 1 species
UGGCGAACGGGUGAGUAACACGUGAGUAACCUGCCCUCCUCUUCGGGAUAACCGCCGGAAACGGUGGCUAAUACCGGAUAUGAAUGUCUGCCGCAUGGUGGGUGUUGGAAAGAUUUAUCGGUGGGGGAUGGACUCGCGGCCUAUCAGUUUGUUGGUGAGGUAAUGGCUCACCAAGGCGAUGACGGGUAGCCGGCCUGAGAGGGCGACCGGCCACACUGGGACUGAGACACGGCCCAGACUCCUACGGGAGGCAGCAGUGGGGAAUAUUGCACAAUGGGCGAAAGCCUGAUGCAGCGACGCCGCGUGGGGGAUGACGGCCUUCGGGUUGUAAACCUCUUCCAGCAGGGAAGAAGCGAGAGUGACGGUACCUGCAGAAGAAGCGCCGGCUAACUACGUGCCAGCAGCCGCGGUAAUACGUAGGGCGCAAGCGUUGUCCGGAAUUAUUGGGCGUA